ACUACAUCACAGGAAUAUCAGGUGAGUUAAAGCUCAUUCUCAAUUACUUCUACAAAAUACCAACCUGUAUUGUUUAGUUCGUUGAUAACAUUGUUUCUUAUGCUAUCAGAUUUCGUAAAACCAUGGAGCUUAACAAGUAUGACCCGAUUAAGAAUUUGAACACAACCAGAUUUGACUGGAAGUGUAGGUUAAGGCUGCAAUCUUGCUGGAAAGGGAUUAAUAGACAAACUAAGGAAUUCUUUGGCAUGAAUAUGCUAUUUAUCGAUGAUUCCGUAAAUACUACUAACGACUUUAUUCAGAAAGAAAUCUUAGGUUUAUUGAAUGUGUAUAUGUUAAUAAUGACUGCUGAUAAAGUAAUUUGUGUUUGUAGAACUGGCGCAUACAUGCAUUUGCUUCAACAAAGUUCUGUAAAGAUCUUUUCCCAACAAUUAAGGAGAAUAAGAUUUAUGUGCUAACGAAUUUUAAAGUCAAAGAUUUUCUCGGUGACGAAACCUAUAGGCCAUCUAGGAAUAAGAAGCACAUGUACUUCACAACACAUACGAAAUUGGAAGAAGAUGUUACAUUUGGAAUUAAAAUAGAUGAAUAUGCUUUUGAUAUCUUCCACUUUGGUGAUCUGGACAAGUUAGCUGAUGACAACAGAUACCUGAUUGGUAUACUCUAGAUUAAAAUCUUUACAUAUUAUGCUAAGCUUAAUUAUAUGUGAAACUGUAGUACUAAGGUCAUAUUCAAAUUUUAGAUGUUGUAGGCAAAAUUCAGAAUGUUGGGACAAAUCUGAAAUCGGUGAAGAAUGAGGUUGAAAAGAAUUUGACAAAAUUUGAGUUGUACAAUGGGAGGAAGAUGUUUAUGUCAUUAUCUGUGCUGCUCGGGUUGGUCGUUAUGAAGGUAACACUAAAUUUGUUAAAUAUUUUUCCUUCCUAACUCUGAGGACUAUCGUCUAAAAACAGGUUUGACAAAUCUAACAAAUUACCCUGCCACAAGAAUAUACAUCAAUCCAAGACACUACAGCAUCAAGGAGCUAAAAAACAACAUCAAAACAAUGCAAGAAGAGGAUGCAGUUAGCUCACCAGAAGAAAAUGAACACAUUGCAAACAUGACUGUCAAAGACAUAAAAUCACUACCCGAAAAUUUCGACAAGGUAUAAGAAUAAAA